rnacentral:tRNA from 1 species
GGAGCGAUGGCUCAGUGGUUAAGAGCACUUGUUGCUCUUGCUAAGGACCUGGGUUCAAUUCCCAGCUCCU